AGACCCGAAACCCGGUGAUCUAGCCAUGGGCAGGUUGAAGGUUGGGUAACACUAACUGGAGGACCGAACCGACUAAUGUUGAAAAAUUAGCGGAUGACCUGUGGCUGGGGGUGAAAGGCCAAUCAAACCGGGAGAUAGCUGGUUCUCCCCGAAAGCUAUUUAGGUAGCGCCUCGUGAAUUCAUCUCCGGGGGUAGAGCACUGUUUCGGCUAGGGGGCCAUCCCGGCUUACCAACCCGAUGCAAACUGCGAAUACCGGAGAAUGUUAUCACGGGAGACACACGGCGGGUGCUAACGUCCGUCGUGAAGAGGGAAACAACCCAGACCGCCAGCUAAGGUCCCAAAGUCAUGGUUAAGUGGGAAACGAUGUGGGAAGGCCCAGACAGCCAGGAUGUUGGCUUAGAAGCAGCCAUCAUUUAAAGAAAGCGUAAUAGCUCACUGGUCGAGUCGGCCUGCGCGGAAGAUGUAACGGGGCUAAACCAUGCACCGAAGCUGCGGCAGCGAACGUAUCACCCAAGACAACUUUACGGAGUUGACGAUUGACGGAGCGAAGCGACGUCAAAGCGUUCAUUAAAGUCGAGUUGGCUUA
rnacentral:rRNA from 4 species